GAUGAACGCUGGCGGCGUGCCUAAUACAUGCAAGUCGAGCGAAUGGAUUAAGAGCUUGCUCUUAUGAAGUUAGCGGCGGACGGGUGAGUAACACGUGGGUAACCUGCCCAUAAGACUGGGAUAACUCCGGGAAACCGGGGCUAAUACCGGAUAACAUUUUGAACCGCAUGGCUCCAAACUGAAAGGCGGCUUCGGCUUGCACUUAUGAAUGGACCCGCGUCGCAUUAGCGAGUUGGUGAGGUAACGGCUCACCAAGGCAACGAUGCGUAGCCGACCUGAGAGGGUGAUCGGCCACACUGGGACUGAGACACGGCCCAGACUCCUACGGGAGGCAGCAGUAGGGAAUCUUCCGCAAUGGACGAAAGUCUGACGGAGCAACGCCGCGUGAGUGAUGAAGGCUUUCGGGUCGUAAAACUCUGUUGUUAGGGAAGAACAAGUGCUAGUUGAAUAAGCUGGCACCUUGACGGUACCUAACCAGAAAGCCACGGCUAACUACGUGCCAGCAGCCGCCGUAA
rnacentral:rRNA from 1 species